rnacentral:rRNA from 1 species
AUUGAACGCUGGCGGCAUGCCUUACACAUGCAAGUCGAACGGUAACAGGUCUUCGGAUGCUGACGAUUGGCGAACGGGUGAGUAAUACAUCGGAACGUGCCCAGACGUGGGGGAUAACGAGGCGAAAGCUUUGCUAAUACCGCAUACGAUCUAAGGAUGAAAGCAGGGGACCGCAAGGCCUUGCGCGUUUGGAGCGGCCGAUGGCAGAUUAGGUAGUUGGUGGGAUAAAAGCUUACCAAGCCGACGAUCUGUAGCUGGUCUGAGAGGACGACCAGCCACACUGGGACUGAGACACGGCCCAGACUCCUACGGGAGGCAGCAGUGGGGAAUUUUGGACAAUGGGCGAAAGCCUGAUCCAGCAAUGCCGCGUGCAGGAUGAAGGCCUUCGGGUUGUAAACUGCUUUUGUACGGAACGAAAAGGCUCUGGCUAAUACCUGGGGCACAUGACGGUACCGUAAGAAUAAGCACCGGCUAACUACGUG